UCCCUGGUGGUCCAGUGGUUAGGAUUCAGAACUUCCACUGCCGAGGGUCCAGGUUCAAUCUCUUGUCAGGGAA
rnacentral:tRNA from 1 species